GAAAAUAACAUGAAUAUGACAGUGGGCAAAUGCAUAAAGUGCAGCAUAAUUUGAAAUCACGAGUUUAAAAUCAUGUCACAAGAUCUCACAGCUGGAUUCGACUAAGUUUGCAAGAUUUGUGAAAUUAAAUGUUCAUUAGUCAUUCAAAGAUUUUACUAAUAAUAUCAAAUCAAUCAUUAUAAUAUCUGUAUACAGACUUAUAUCCUUGUAAGACAGAACUGUUAAUGAUGACAGUGAACAAGAGGGAGAAUGUGAGAACUGUGUGCGCUCAGACGCUGCCGCUCUCAGCGCCAUCAAAAUAAAAGUCCUGCCUCGAAUACAUCGGCCAAGCAGAAAAACUUAUCAGCAGAUGCUGAUAUCUGCUAAAUGACAAAUAUCGGCUUUGCCGAUAUAUCGGUCAACCCCUAAUAGUCACCUCAUUUAACCUAUUCAGUUUUGAUUCCCUGAACUGAAUGUUUGGUCAGGCCCUAUUCACACUGCAGCUUAAUUAAGUCACUCCCCUUUGGAGCACUUAACCCAGUUCUAUUCACACACAGAAACUGGUUAUGCGUUUGAAAACCAAAUUCACUCUUGAAAAAAAAUAUUUGCUGAUAUCAACCUGUCACAUUACCACCAUGCCGAAAUUAGGAGUGACUCCUGUAUUCACACGCAAUAAUGUAAUGGGUUCAUUUGUUGGCAUCCAUAUUUCUUAUCUACAGCCAUAUUACCACCAUGUUAACCAUCACAAGAUCAGGAGUGAAUCCUGAAUUUAUACACAAAGUGAAUGCUAAUUUAGAUGGACUCAGUCCUGGUUGUCUAUCCCAAAUGUGGCCAUACUGAGCCCAAUGAUGUGUGUCAGUUCCAGUCACAUUUUACAAUAUUACAUGGGUUCAUUGUGAAUGAAUAAGAGCUAAAGAGACUUUAAGUGCAUCUGCGAUUAAGACUGGUGAUAAAUCGAUGAAGCAAAGCAAGCGCACAGAUCACACAGUGUAUCAUGUGAUCAGGAUGACUCUGAGCGUGAAAUGUUAAUUCAGGGAACCCAGAAAAUGAAAGGAAAUCACAAGAGGAAUCGCUGCUUCUAAACUUCAAUCCCGAUCCCAAAAGACCCAUCAAAGGACAGAGAGAAAGGACAGCGUACCCGACGAGGAGUCGGAGGAUUUUAGAGCAAAAGACCAACCAUCAGGGGUCAUAGAUGCACAGUGUGGUAGACGUAGUUCCACGGGCUUCAGGAACUUCAGACCGUGAGGGCCGCACAUCACCAGAGGACUGAGCAGAGUUUCACCUGGAAGAGCAGACAGGCUGCAAUAAGCUUCAGGAGCAUCAGUGUGUCAUUAAUUCAACAACUAUACCAUCAUUAAAGAAGAACAAUUAUUAUUAUUACAAUCAA